UACGAAGGGGGCUAGCGUUGCUCGGAAUCACUGGGCGUAAAGCGCACGUAGGCGGCUUGUUAAGUCAGGGGUGAAAUCCUGGAGCUCAACUCCAGAACUGCCUUUGAUACUGGCGAGCUUGAGUUCGGGAGAGGUGAGUGGAACUGCGAGUGUAGAGGUGAAAUUCGUAGAUAUUCGCAAGAACACCAGUGGCGAAGGCGGCUCACUGGCCCGGUACUGACGCUGAGGUGCGAAAGCGUGGGGAGCAAACAGGAUUAAGAAACCCCGGUGAGUCCCAGAACCG
rnacentral:rRNA from 1 species